GUGAAAUUUAUAUAAGGAAAUAAAAUUACCUCGAGUUAUUAAGAGGAAUUAAAAAAUGGAGGUAAAAAACCAGGAUUAGAUACCCUGUUAUUCUUCACUACAUUUAAUGGGUAGUAAAAGUUAUCCUUCAAACCCAAAGAUUUUGGCGGCAUUUUAACCAAACAGAGGAGCUUGUCUUAUAAUCGAUAAUCCUCGCUGUAUCUUACCUUUAUUUGUUUAGCUUGUAUACCUCCGUUGUCAGAUUACUCUAAAAGGAUGUUUUCUAAAAAAAUAAUUUUUUUACUUCAGGUCAAGGUGCAGUUUAUAUAAAGGUUUUGAUGAGCUACAAUUUUUUAAAAAAUACGGAUAUUAGGUUGAAAUCUAAUUGAAGGUGGAUUUGUUAGUAAGUUUUUUUAGAGAAAUUAACUGAAUAUGGCAAUAAGAUGUGUACAUAUCGCCCGUCACUCUCCUUCUAAGNGGAGAUAA
rnacentral:rRNA from 1 species